rnacentral:rRNA from 1 species
CCUACGGGUGACAGCAGUGAGGAAUAUUGGUCAAUGGGCGCGAGCCUGAACCAGCCAAGUAGCGUGAAGGAUGACUGCCCUACGGGUUGUAAACUUAUUUUAUAAAGGAAUAAAGUGAGGGACGUGUGCCUUCUUGUAGGUACUUAAUGAAUAAGAAUCGGCUAACUACGAGCCAGCAGCCGAGGUAAUACGGAGGUUCCGAGCGUUAUACGGAUUUAUUGGGGGUAAAGGGAGCGUAGAUGGGUUGUUAAGUCAGUUGUGAAAGUUUGCGGCUAAACCGUCAAAUUGCAAUUGAUACUGGCAGUCUUGAGUACAGUGGCGGUCGGCGGAAUUCGUGGUGUAGCGGUGAAAUGCUUAGAUAUCACGACGAACUCCGAUUGCGAAGGCAGCUUACUAAGCUGCCACUGACAUUGAUGCUCGAAAGUGUGGGUAUCAAACAGGAUUAGAUACCCCGGUAGUC